GCCCACUGAGAUUUUAAAUGGCCGCAGUAAUUUGACUGUGCGAAGGAAGCAUAAUAUUUAGUUUUUCAAUUAAAAGCUUGUAUGAAAGGCUGGACGAAGAAAAAUCUGUCUCUAUUUAAAACAAAUUAGAAUUGAAUUUUUAAGUCAAAAAGCUUAAAUUUUAAUAAAAGACGAGAAGACCCUAUAGAACUUUAUAAUUUAUUUAAUAUUAAUAAAUUAAGAUUUAUUUAAGUUUUAUUAAUUAAAUUAUUUUAUUGGGGUAAUAAAAAGAUUAAAUAAAUUCUUUUUUAUAAUUAACAUUUAUUUAUGGAAUAAAUGAUCCAUUUUUAUUGAUUAUAAGAUUAAGUUACCUUAGGGAUAACAGCGUAAUUUUUUUGAAGAGUUCAUAUCGAUAAAAAAGUUUGCGACCUCGAUGUUGGAUUAAAGAUUAAUUUAGGUGUAGAAGUUUAAAUUUUUGGUCUGUUCGACCAUUAAAUCUUUACAUGAUCUGAGUUCAGACCGGUGUAAGCCAGGUCGGUUUCUAUCUUUAUUAAAUUUAAAUAUUUUAGUACGAAAGGACCAAAUAUUUGAUAUAUUUAUAUUUUAUAUUUUGAAUAUUAAUAUUAUUUUGGCAGAUUAGUGCAAUAGAUUUAGAAUUUAUAAAUGUAAAUUAUAUUACAAAUAAUACUUGUUUUAUAUAGAUUUAUUAUUUUCUUUAAUUUGUAUAUUAUUAUUAUUAAUUUGUGUUUUAGUAGGUGUUGCUUUUUUAACCUUAUUAGAACGUAAAGUAUUAGGAUAUA
rnacentral:rRNA from 1 species